rnacentral:tRNA from 1 species
UCCUUAGUAGCUCAGCGGUAGAGCGAUCGGCUGUUAACCGAUUGGUCGUAGGUUCAAAUCCUUCCUGAGGAG